CUGUCUCGUGUCGGAAGUUCUGUCAGUGUACAGGAUGAGCACAAGUGUUCAGUGCUGUUUUCCCAGCUGUCGUACAAUAGCCUUUUCAGCGGAUAUGGGUUUUGUAAGGCUUGUCUCAUUCCAGCUGAGACUUCCAGUCAUCCAGCACUGAACUAGUAAGAAGCUUCAGGCUUUUUUUUUU